rnacentral:misc_RNA from 1 species
CAGAGUUGCAAAACUCCCUUACCACCAUCGUGAACAGACCCCGAAACAGUUGCUUCGGCGGGAGGCAGUCCCCCCCUUCACCGCGGGCGGCCCGGGUUCCCGGCGCCCUGGCCCAUCGCGGCGCCCGCCGGAGGUACUCCAAACUCUUGAUACUUUAUAGGCCUCUCUGAGUCUUCUGUACUGAAUAAGUCA